rnacentral:rRNA from 1 species
CGGCAACAGCUCAAAUUUGAAAUCUGCCCGCAAGGGCCGAGUUGUAAUUUGUAGAGGAUACUUUUGAUGCGGUGCCUUCCGAGUUCCCUGGAACGGGACGCCAUAGAGGGUGAGAGCCCCGUCUGGUUGGAUGCCAAAUCUCUGUAAAGUUCCUUCAAC